CCUACGGGAGGCAGCAGUGAGGAAUAUUGGUCAAUGGGCGCUAGCCUGAACCAGCCAAGUAGCGUGAAGGAUGACUGCACUGUGGGUUGUAAACUUCUUUUAUCUGGGAAUAAAGUGCAGUAUGUAUACUGCUUUGCAUGUACCUUAUGAAUAAGCAUCGGCUAACUCCGUGCCAGCAGCCGCGGUAAUACGGAGGAUACGAGCGUUAUCCGGAUUUAUUGGGUUUAAAGGGUGCGUAGGCGGGUUGUUAAGUCAGUUGUUAAAGUUGGCGGCUCAACCGUAAAAUUGCAGUUGAUACUGGCAGCCUUGAGUACAGUAGAGGUAGGCGGAAUGCGUGGUGUAGCGGUGAAAUGCUUAGAUAUCGCGAAGAACUCCGAUUGCGAAGGCAGCCUGCUGGACUGUAACUGACGCUGAUGCUCGAAAGUGUGGGUAUCAAACAGGAUUAGAUACCCGAGUAGUC
rnacentral:rRNA from 1 species